GAGUUGGAAAUGUCCUUGGUGAAUUUCACUAAAAAUAUUUGGUUCUUGUGAUUUAUACGAGUUUGGAGCCACCUGGUGGUGUAUUCUUGCAGCUGCAGUAGGUUGGGUUUUUGCACACGAUGCUUACUCCAGCUAGAAAGAGUUGUCUACGCUGGAGGUAAGUUCAGUGGUAUAAUGCUCCGUGUAUAUCCAUAAUUGUAAUAUUAUAAAUGUGUGCAUACUAAGGUUUGCAAUUAAAAAUGUUGUUUUGAGUAAUACUGCUACACGGUCAUGGAGUUGCAAACGAUUGUGCAUUAAUAUUGUAAUGUUAUUUUGGAAUGAUCAUUUCUGACCACGUUAUGAACUUGCUAGUCGGUUCGCUGCUAGUCAGAGCACACUUGUAUUCUUUGUUGUUGACCGUGGACAGUAAGCUAACUAUCUCAAUCAUUCCGUGUAGGUUACAGAUCUACAAAUGAACAGCAGCUGCAUUGUAUUAUUUUCUGUUUCACCAGGAGGUGCAUAAGGGGCAACAGAAAAAGGAGAAAGUCCAUCAGGGACAGAUCCAUUUUCGGCCACUCAAAAAUCACCCUGUUUGACUGGCUGAAGUUUGUGCACAGGUUCUCUCAAGGACUUCGGCUCUGACAGGAGGACAUGUUGGAGGAUGGCAUUACAGGAAGUUCAGCAACCCUCACCAAGAUGGCAAAAAAACUCUGUGCUGUCUGUGUGGCAGCAAUGCAGCGAUUGAGAGGGAGAACAGGGCAACGGCUUGGGGGUCGAAAACAAUUCAUUGCCAUUGAUGAGAGCAAUUUCCGGCACAAAAGAAAAUAUGGUAGAGGCAGAGUGGCCGGUGCCUGGAGAAGAAAAAAAAUGGGUGUUUGGAAUGUUGGGGGUAUAUAAAAGAGGAAAAAGGACGAAGCCCGUUCUCCACCUGGCGAAGAAAAGGAGAAGACAAGACCUGCUUCCAGUCAUUACCAGACAUGCAAGAAGGGGGUCAUCAAUUAUAAGUGACCAGUGGCGCGCCUAUUGUCAGUUACCGCAGCUGGGCUAUAGGCAUUUUACGGUCAAUCAUAGUAUUAAUUUUGUGGAUGGUCAUACUGGGGCACAUACCCAGCAUAUUGAAAGGGCGUGGAGAACAUACAAAGAGAGAAUUUGGAGGCUCCGGGGUAACCGCACAGACAAAAUGCUGAAGGAUCACUUAAAAGUGAUUGAGGCAAGGCAAGACAAGGCAAGUUUAUUUAUAUAGCACAUUUCAUACACAAUGGCAGUUCAAUGUGCUUUACAGAAGUAAAAACAAAAACAGUAAA